rnacentral:pre_miRNA from 1 species
GAAGUACUUCCUCUGUCCUAAAAUUCUUGUCUUACAUUUGUCAAGAUAUGAAUGUAUCUAGUCAUAUUUUAGUAUUUGGAUACAUUUAUUUUUAGACAAACCUAAGACUAUUUCUUUAGGAUGAAGGAAGUAGAAG